rnacentral:rRNA from 2 species
GGUUAAGCGACUAAGCGUACACGGUGGAUGCCCUGGCAGUCAGAGGCGAUGAAGGACGUGCUAAUCUGCGAUAAGCGUCGGUGAGGUGAUAUGAACCGUUAUAACCGGCGAUUUCCGAAUGGGGAAACCCAGUGUGUUUCGACACACUAUCAUUAACUGAAUCCAUAGGUUAAUGAGGCGAACCGGGGGAACUGAAACAUCUAAGUACCCCGAGGAAAAGAAAUCAACCGAGAUUCCCCCAGUAGCGGCGAGCGAACGGGGAGGAGCCCAGAGCCUGAAUCAGUGUGUGUGUUAGUGGAAGCGUCUGGAAAGGCGCGCGAUACAGGGUGACAGCCCCGUACACAAAAAUGCACAUAUUGUGAGCUCGAUGAGUAGGGCGGGACACGUGGUAUCCUGUCUGAAUAUGGGGGGACCAUCCUCCAAGGCUAAAUACUCCUGACUGACCGAUAGUGAACCAGUACCGUGAGGGAAAGGCGAAAAGAACCUCGGCGAGGGGAGUGAAAAAGAACCUGAAACCGUGUACGUACAAGCAGUGGGAGCCUCUUAAUGGGGUGACUGCGUACCUUUUGUAUAAUGGGUCAGCGACUUAUAUUCUGUAGCAAGGUUAACCGAAUAGGGGAGCCGAAGGGAAACCGAGUCUUAACUGGGCGUUAAGUUGCAGGGUAUAGACCCGAAACCCGGUGAUCUAGCCAUGGGCAGGUUGAAGGUUGGGUAACACUAACUGGAGGACCGAACCGACUAAUGUUGAAAAAUUAGCGGAUGACUUGUGGCUGGGGGUGAAAGGCCAAUCAAACCGGGAGAUAGCUGGUUCUCCCCGAAAGCUAUUUAGGUAGCGCCUCGUGAAUUCAUCUCCGGGGGUAGAGCACUGUUUCGGCAAGGGGGUCAUCCCGACUUACCAACCCGAUGCAAACUGCGAAUACCGGAGAAUGUUAUCACGGGAGACACACGGCGGGUGCUAACGUCCGUCGUGAAGAGGGAAACAACCCAGACCGCCAGCUAAGGUCCCAAAGUCAUGGUUAAGUGGGAAACGAUGUGGGAAGGCCCAGACAGCCAGGAUGUUGGCUUAGAAGCAGCCAUCAUUUAAAGAAAGCGUAAUAGCUCACUGGUCGAGUCGGCCUGCGCGGAAGAUGUAACGGGGCUAAACCAUGCACCGAAGCUGCGGCAGCGACACUAUGUGUUGUUGGGUAGGGGAGCGUUCUGUAAGCCUGUGAAGGUGGCCUGUGAGGGUUGCUGGAGGUAUCAGAAGUGCGAAUGCUGACAUAAGUAACGAUAAAGCGGGUGAAAAGCCCGCUCGCCGGAAGACCAAGGGUUCCUGUCCAACGUUAAUCGGGGCAGGGUGAGUCGACCCCUAAGGCGAGGCCGAAAGGCGUAGUCGAUGGGAAACAGGUUAAUAUUCCUGUACUUGGUGUUACUGCGAAGGGGGGACGGAGAAGGCUAUGUUGGCCGGGCGACGGUUGUCCCGGUUUAAGCGUGUAGGCUGGUUUUCCAGGCAAAUCCGGAAAAUCAAGGCUGAGGCGUGAUGACGAGGCACUACGGUGCUGAAGCGACAAAUGCCCUGCUUCCAGGAAAAGCCUCUAAGCAUCAGGUAACAUCAAAUCGUACCCCAAACCGACACAGGUGGUCAGGUAGAGAAUACCAAGGCGCUUGAGAGAACUCGGGUGAAGGAACUAGGCAAAAUGGUGCCGUAACUUCGGGAGAAGGCACGCUGAUAUGUAGGUGAAGCGACUUGCUCGUGGAGCUGAAAUCAGUCGAAGAUACCAGCUGGCUGCAACUGUUUAUUAAAAACACAGCACUGUGCAAACACGAAAGUGGACGUAUACGGUGUGACGCCUGCCCGGUGCCGGAAGGUUAAUUGAUGGGGUUAGCGGUAACGCGAAGCUCUUGAUCGAAGCCCCGGUAAACGGCGGCCGUAACUAUAACGGUCCUAAGGUAGCGAAAUUCCUUGUCGGGUAAGUUCCGACCUGCACGAAUGGCGUAAUGAUGGCCAGGCUGUCUCCACCCGAGACUCAGUGAAAUUGAACUCGCUGUGAAGAUGCAGUGUACCCGCGGCAAGACGGAAAGACCCCGUGAACCUUUACUAUAGCUUGACACUGAACAUUGAGCCUUGAUGUGUAGGAUAGGUGGGAGGCUUUGAAGUGUGGACGCCAGUCUGCAUGGAGCCGACCUUGAAAUACCACCCUUUAAUGUUUGAUGUUCUAACGUGGGCCCCUUACCGGGGUUGCGGACAGUGUCUGGUGGGUAGUUUGACUGGGGCGGUCUCCUCCUAAAGAGUAACGGAGGAGCACGAAGGUUGGCUAAUCCUGGUCGGACAUCAGGAGGUUAGUGCAAUGGCAUAAGCCAGCUUGACUGCGAGCGUGACGGCGCGAGCAGGUGCGAAAGCAGGUCAUAGUGAUCCGGUGGUUCUGAAUGGAAGGGCCAUCGCUCAACGGAUAAAAGGUACUCCGGGGAUAACAGGCUGAUACCGCCCAAGAGUUCAUAUCGACGGCGGUGUUUGGCACCUCGAUGUCGGCUCAUCACAUCCUGGGGCUGAAGUAGGUCCCAAGGGUAUGGCUGUUCGCCAUUUAAAGUGGUACGCGAGCUGGGUUUAGAACGUCGUGAGACAGUUCGGUCCCUAUCUGCCGUGGGCGCUGGAGAACUGAGGGGGGCUGCUCCUAGUACGAGAGGACCGGAGUGGACGCAUCACUGGUGUUCGGGUUGUCAUGCCAAUGGCACUGCCCGGUAGCUAAAUGCGGAAGAGAUAAGUGCUGAAAGCAUCUAAGCACGAAACUUGCCCCGAGAUGAGUUCUCCCUGACUCCUUGAGAGUCCUGAAGGAACGUUGAAGACGACGACGUUGAUAGGCCGGGUGUGUAAGCGCAGCGAUGCGUUGAGCUAACCGGUACUAAUGAACCGUGAGGCUUAACCUU